UACAGAGGUCCCAAGCGUUGUUCGGAUUCACUGGGCGUAAAGGGUGCGUAGGCGGUCGGGUAAGUCUGAUGUGAAAGCCCUGGGCUCAACCUGGGAAUUGCAUUGGAUACUGGCAGGCUAGAGUGCGGUAGAGGGUAGUGGAAUUCCCGGUGUAGCAGUGAAAUGCGUAGAGAUCGGGAGGAACACCAGUGGCGAAGGCGACUACCUGGACCAGCACUGACACUGAGGCACGAAAGCGUGGGGAGCAAACAGG
rnacentral:rRNA from 1 species